UACGUACUGUGCGAACGUUAUUCGGAAUCACUGGGCUUAAAGGGUGCGUAGGCGGCCUGUUAAGUAGGGUGUGAAAUGCCAGAGCUCAACUUUGGCAUUGCGCUCUAGACUGGCUGGCUUGAGUGAGAUAGGGGUGUGCGGAACUUCCAGUGGAGCGGUGAAAUGUGUUGAUAUUGGAAGGAACGCCGGUGGCGAAAGCGGCACACUGGGUCUUAACUGACGCUGAGGCACGAAAGCCAGGGGAGCGAACGGG
rnacentral:rRNA from 1 species